AAGAAACGAAAUGUAAAAGAGAAGAAGGAAAGGAAAAAGAGAAAGAAGAAAAAGAGGUGUACAGUAGCAGUCUUUCUUGCUGUUGUAUACUCUUCUGGCUGCUGCUGUCUAGCCAUGGCUGCUGUAGAUAUGGGUGCAUGCAAGUGCCUUGUGCUACUUACAACAAGAAGGAGCUGGUUGGGUCUUGAUUCAGCUGAGAUUUGGAGAGGAGGGCUGAUUCAAGCUGUAUGCAUGCACCAAGAGAACAUCAAUGGAAUCUUAUAACUACAUUUGUUGAGGAUACGCGAGGCUAGGAAAUUGGUGAAGGAUUUCAGAUAUGAGAUUUCAGGUAUUGAAGCUGAAGCUAAAACAGAAGUGAGCUGGCGAUUCAUCGGAGAUGAAGAAAAGAUCUGGGAGUGGUUAUAGACAAGGACUUUGAUACUUUAUGUUUUAUAGUGUAAAUAAAAUGUAAGUGGUAUUAUAAAUUUGGUUAUAACUUGUGGAUGUAAUAAAUGAGCCUAUAAUAUU